rnacentral:tRNA from 1 species
CGGGGUGUGGCCCAGCCCGGUCUAAGGCGCAUGCAUGGGGUGCAUGAGAACGGAGGUUCAAAUCCUCUCACCCCGA